rfam:Schistosoma mansoni strain Puerto Rico chromosome 2, complete genome
AUCCAGCUGACAAAUCCUAAAUAGGACGAAACGCGCGUCCUGGAU